rnacentral:rRNA from 1 species
AUUGAACGCUGGCGGCAGGCCUAACACAUGCCAGUCGAACGGUAACAGAAAGCAGCUUGCUGCUUUGCUGACGAGUGGCGGACGGGUGAGUAAUGUCUGGGAAACUGCCUGAUGGAGGGGGAUAACUACUGGAAACGGUAGCUAAUACCGCAUAACGUCGCAAGACCAAAGAGGGGGACCUUCGGGCCUCUUGCCAUCGGAUGUGCCCAGAUGGGAUUAGCUAGUAGGUGGGGUAACGGCUCACCUAGGCGACGAUCCCUAGCUGGUCUGAGAGGAUGACCAGCCACACUGGAACUGAGACACGGUCCAGACUCCUGCGGGAGGCAGCAGUGGGGAAUAUUGCACAAUGGGCGCAAGACUGAUGCAGCCAUGCCGAGUGUAUGAAGAAGGCCUUCGGGUUGUAAAGUACUUUCAGCGGGGAGGAAGGGAGUAAAGUUAAUACCUUUGCUCACUGACGUUACCCGCAGAAGAAGCACCGGCUAACUCCGUG